CAAAAGUGUGAGAAACAGUUCAGUUGUAAGAACUUGUAACUGUUAGGGUUGGUGUGAUUUGGAUUCUAUCCCAGGAAGCACCAGGCAUAUGGGACACCACUCCACCAUAGAGAUCUGUUACCUACACAUAAUCAUGUAAUUAAUUAGAGAAUAAGAAUUACAUUGCAAGAAAUUCUUACUGUUGGACUUAACUGCUCAUGGAAAUUGUGAUAAAUAAAACUUAAAGGGGCUUGAGCUGUUUCUAACAGCAGUACUGUGGUGGUCAGAUACAAUCAGCCGCCAGCUCAGGGGUUUAAACCCCAACAAAGGUUCUUUGAGUUGGAUUGAUUGACUCCUCCUUUGGAAGAUAACUCUGAGUCCCUCCCGCAUCCUAGUUCUAUGGUGCCAGGCAGGCCAUCUCUUCGAGCUCCUGAGCACCUGGAGGACUAUAUCCAUCCCUACAGCCAGCAACGACUUCCACCUUCUUCCUGCCCCACAGAGAGGGACUGCCAGGAAUCGAGAGGAGCAGUGGCCACUGUAGGUAGGAAACAAGCAGAUUUAUUCCAUAAACAUGAAAGACUCAGCCUCACAUAUCCCAAAGUCAGCUGAUUGGAUGAACUUAGUAUCACUAAGGAAACUCAUGGAAUCCAUCUCCAGCAAUAAGAGGGACGAAGCUUACCAGCAAUAAACGAAACGACAUCAUUCGGAGCUAUCGGAGCACAUUUCGUAAUGAUGGAGGAAGUAGAUGAUGAAGACCAACAGGCAGAGGCUGCUCCACCCCCUCCGACAUCAUUGCCUCCAGUCCUCCAGCCCAAUACACAUCUUAUCUCACCAAACCAUUCUUCUCCUCCAUCAGCAAAGGAGUCUCAUAACCUGGAGCAUGACACAGAUGGACGGAUUCAGGCACACAAAUUAGUGGAACAAAUGAAUGAGAGUAGGCUGGGAGAUUGUAUCCUGGUGACAGCCAUUUCCUCAGGCACAGCAACGUCAAUACCGGGCCAGUGAACCCCCACACACCAAGAGCCUCUGCUGACAUAGACCAUCUCACCUCCAUGGUGAUGUUAGUGGAAACCUCCAUCCUCUGGCAAAACAACCAUUCACUGCCCCAUCCCCCCAGUCCACUGGCCACUGGACACACCUCAUAGCUAUCCUGCUGCAGCGUCACAUCAGCCACCACUUCUGAUGUCCCAAGCCUCAUCAAGCUAUGACAUGCCACAUCGUCCAGUGUAUGGUGUACCAAGACCCAAGACCUCGGACUUCUCCACUGACAAUAAAAGGGAGUUUGCUAAUCUAAAUCUGGCCUUGUACUU